AAGUUUUUAGCAAACUAUUGCAUAAGAAUUAGAAUCUUAAAAUAUUUCA
rnacentral:tRNA from 1 species